GCCAGGUGCAGUGGUGCACACCUGUAGUCCCAGCUACUCAGGAGGCUGAGGCAGGAGGAUUGCUUGAGCCCAGGAGGUCAAGGCUGCAGUGACCUAUGAUCACAUCACUGCACUCCUGCCUGGGCCACAGAGCAAGGCCCUGUCUCUA
rfam:Pan troglodytes isolate Yerkes chimp pedigree #C0471 (Clint) chromosome 10, whole genome shotgun sequence.